UGAUGUGUAGGGGAGGUGUGAGGCAUUGAAACGUGAUCGCCAGUUUGCGUGGAGCCGAGUUUGAUAUACCACCCGUUAAUGUUUGAUGUUCUAACGUUGUCCCGUGAUCCGGGAUACGGACAGUGGCUGGUGUGUAGUUUGACUGGGGCGGUCUCCUCCUAAAGAGUAACGGAGGAGCACGAAGGUUAGCUAGGCAUGGUCGGACAUCAUGCGGUUAGUGCAAAGGCAGCAGCUAGCUUAACUGCGAGCCGGACAGGUCGAGCAGAUACGAAAGUAGGUCUUCGUGAUCCGGUGGUUCUGAAUGGAAGGGCCAUCGCUACACGGAUAAAAGGUACUCCGGGGAUAACAGGCUGAUACCGCCCACGAGUUCAUAUCGACGGCGGCGUUAGGCACCUCGAUGUCGGCUCAUCCCAUCCUUGGGCUGACGUUGGUCC
rnacentral:rRNA from 1 species